rnacentral:rRNA from 1 species
AACGUAGGAAGCUAGCGUUGUCCGGAAUUAUUGGGCGUAAAGGGCGUGUAGGUGGUCAGACAAGUCAUUUGUUUAAUCCGCGAGCUUAACUUGCGAUCGGCAGAUGAAACUGUUUGACUUGAGUAUGGAAGAGGAAAGUGGAAUUCCCAGUGUAGCGGUGAAAUGCGUAGAUAUUGGGAAGAACACCGGUGGCGAAGGCGACUUUCUGGUCCAAUACUAACACUGAGGCGCGAAAGCCAGGGGAG